UCCCAGGUAGUCUAGUGCUUAAGACUCUGAGCUUCCACUACAGGGGAUAUGGGUUCAAUCCCUGGUCAGGGAA
rnacentral:tRNA from 1 species